CGGGAUGUGGCGCAGUUUGGCUUAGCGCACCUGCUUUGGGAGCAGGGGGUCGGAGGUUCAAAUCCUCUCAUCCCGACCA
rnacentral:tRNA from 1 species